rnacentral:rRNA from 1 species
GAUGAACGCUAGCGGCAGGCUUAAUACAUGCAAGUCGAGGGGCAACAGGGGGUAGCAAUACCUGCUGGCGACCGGCAAACGGGUGCGGAACACGUACAGAACCUUCCUUUAAGCGGGGGAUAGCCCAUAGAAAUGUGGAUUAAUACCCCAUAGAAUUAUGGUGUGGCAUCACACAAGUAAUUAAAGAUUUAUCACUUAGAGAUGGCUGUGCGUCUGAUUAGGUAGNGGUUGAGGUAAUGGCUCACCAAGCCUUCGAUCAGUAACUGGUGUGAGAGCACGACCAGUCACACGGGGCACUGAGACACCGGGCCCGACUCCUACGGGAGGCAGCAGUAAGGAAUAUUGGUCAAUGGACGCAAGUCUGAACCAGCCAUGCCGCGUGAAGGAUGAAGGUCCUCUGGA